UCAGCUAUAGCUCUAUGGUUUGAGUGCUGGGCUAUGACUCUGGAGAUCAGGGUUCGAUUCCUAGCUCAG